UAAAAGGGGUAGCGCCACCGGAGGGUUACUGAACCGCUCUUGUCGGUCACGCAAUACAUCAUUUCUUUCCGAGGGUGCUCUCGACAAUGCCGAAGCAUUCUGGGCCCUCGCAAUGUUCAUCUAGCAUCCAUUACAAGAAAAUAGGGAAGUCUGGAUCCUCUGGAUCCAGGUUGAACAUUCCUAUUGGAGAUACCAAUGCAGUUGGCAGUUAUUUUCAAUCGUGUGCUCGUUCUACAUAUGUACGUGCAAAAUUGGCACGUGAACAAUCGUCCCAGUCGUUUAAAGAUACGUCCAGCGAUGCGUUCAUCGUUGUAACAUUAAUCUUCUUGAUAAUUUCAGAUGUCAAUAUAACAAUACAUAAGGGUGUCUAAUAAUUAUUACGAUAGCUUUUUAAUAACAAUGCGCCAUGAACAGUGGAUGCUACCAAAGAUAAAUUAUUAUAUGUUAAAUGAAACAGAUUACAUAGGUAUAGGACUCUCUUUCAUUAAUUGGUCAUCCACCUCUACAACCAACCAGACUCGGUAAACUUCACACGUUGUUUCCGUGCCUGGGCAGCCGAGCCGAAGGCGGAAAAUUAUUUUUAGACCGAACGGCUGUCGUUACCUAAGCUUUUUACAUCAUCGGGCCUCCGUCUGGGCAAAAGCGCGGAUUCACGAGCGACGCGUGUAUGCCGCUUAAUUGGAUGAGAGACCCGCGAUUAGAGAGAGGAUAAAUGUCAAACGGUGCGUGCACCCAUGACCACCGGGUCUCAAAGGAUUAAUUAUGGGCGACGGGGACGGCGGAAAAUCGCGGUUGUGUGUCUGCCGUCUGCAAAAAUCACAACAACGCUGCCUCCACCGUUGUCGUCGUCAUCGUAAUCGGCAUGCACGAGCGGACCGAGAACAAGUAUAUCGGGACGUGCAGAAAGGGGGAGAAUGAGGGCUCCUGAAUCACCAGUGAUUUGCCCGAUAAAUACGAUCGGCGUGGGCGUAGCAUCGAGUGAAGACACGUAGGGAGGAAGCCGUAGUCAAGCUUGGGGGUCCGCUCGUCACCCGAGACGAAAGCCGGGACAUGAAAGGUAGGUGUACGGCCGACGUUAGACGUGGAUGUGAAGGUAAAGAGAGAGAGAGAGAGGAUUCUCUAAACACUAUAUCGAUUUCGGCGGCGAUGCGGUUACGCGUCGUCCGUGGCUAAACAUGAAUGGCGGGUGCGCGUUUGUGCUAUUCGUUCGUGUGAAACCGGACCUCCAUGGUGUUGAGCACUGUCGUAUGUCCGACAGUCCAAAACUGAUACCAGCACGUGUCCAAACAGCAACCUUUCAUGUUGCCUGCCUACGUCGAUAAUCAAAUUGGAACAUUAGAAAGUGGAGAUAUUUUUAAAACUGAAUAUUCCCGUCACUAAACUGGACAAAACGCCGCACAGGACUGCAAGAGAGUCAUAGAGAAU